AAAAAAAGAAAUUUAUUACAGAAAUUGCUAAAAUUUUACAAUAAUUUAGUUUAAGUACAGCUUAUAUGGAAAUUAUAUUAAAAAAGAUAUGUCACCGAUGAGUUGGAAAAGAUAUUUCAAUUUUAGAGCCAAAAAAUGGCAUUUUUCCACCAAAGGGAGAUAAUUUGGAACUUUUUCAACGAUGUAUACAUUUUGAAAGUCAUCUGGGGCCAACACAAAUUGAUUGUUUUGAAUGAUUUUUGUACCAUAUGAUAAAGUAACAACUACAAAAGGAAAUAAAUAAAAUUUGUAAUGAAAAACAAAUGUUUGAUUUUUUUCUGAAAUUUUUAUACCCUCGAGCCUCCUUAAAGCUUUUAUGUUGUU
rnacentral:lncRNA from 1 species